GACGAACGUUGGCGGCGUGCUUAAUACAUGCAAGUCAACUGAAGCAGUGGUAGCAAUAUCGCUGUGGAGGUGGCGCACGGGUGAGUAACACGUAGGUAAUCUGCCUUCAGGUCUGGCAUAACUCCGGGAAACCGGGGCUAAUAGCAGAUGAUGCAGCGGCUCGACAUCGAGACAGUUGUUAAAGCUAUGGCGCCUGAAGAUGAGCCUGCGUCUGAUUAGCUAGUUGGCGGGGUAACGGCCCACCAAGGCAACGAUCAGUAGCUGGUCUGAGAGGAUGAUCAGCCACACUGGAACUGAGACACGGUCCAGACUCCUACGGGAGGCAGCAGUAAGGAAUAUUGCUCAAUGGGAGAAAUACUGAAGCAGCAACGCCGCGUGAGGGACGAAGGGCUUUGGCUUGUAAACCUCUGUAGUGAGAGAAAAAAAUCCCAAUCUUUGGGACAUGAUGGUAUCUCAAAAGUAAGCCCCGGCUAACUACGUG
rnacentral:rRNA from 1 species